rnacentral:tRNA from 1 species
AAAGGUAUAGCUCAAGUGGUAGAGUGUGUGCUUAGCAUGCAUAAAGUCCUGGGUUCAAUCCCCAGUGCCUCCU